rnacentral:tmRNA from 19 species
GGGGGCGACCUGGCUUCGACGCGGGUAGCAAAACCUAAGGGGCAUGCCGAGGUGCAGUGACCUCGUUAAUCACGCUGCAACAUUAUAGUUGCCAACGACGACAACUACGCACUCGCUGCUUAAAACCCAGUAGGGUGCCGUCUGACUGAAGCCGUGCUUGUGCGUUCAGAUUUCAGGCGUCGAUUCUCACAAGAUCGCGGUGAAGUUCUCCCAGGGCAGACCCGCUAAAACUUUACUGGGAUCGCCGUAUGUUUUCCUUGCCCGUCGGGUAGCAUGCGGUUAAAUUAAUGACUGGGCUAUGCAUGUAGAACCGAAGGCGGAGUACUUGUGGACGCGGGUUCGAUUCCCGCCGCCUCCACCA